UGGUGGGAUCCAUGCAUGGUUUAUUUUAAUAAACGCUGGUGGUGGACAGGCGGCCGCGCUAGUCUGUGAUAACCUCGUGCCGAUCGCACGUCCCCGUGACGGUGACAACACAUUUGGAUGUCUGCCCUCUCUGGAAUCGUAACGGGGACUCAGGGUUCGAUUCCAAAGAGAGAGCUUGAGAAACGGCUACCACAUGCAAGGAAGGCAGCAGGUGCGCAAAUUACCCACUCCCGACGCGGGGAGGUAGUGA